rnacentral:lncRNA from 1 species
CCCAGGAUGAGGUUCAGCAGGAAAGGUUCUCCAGAUCAUCUUACAGCCUGGGGGGGAGUCAUUGCCUUAUAGGGUGUGGGACUCUAUAUGGGAUGCAAGGGAAGAGAAUCUGGGGAUUGUGCAAGCUCUAGUAAGGAGUGUUUAUGUGGAAGACCAUUCAAGAACAAUGAGGAUCAAGGUGGUUUGGGAGAAAUAAGCAUGGCGGGAAAAAAAGAAGUUGAAGGGAGGAAAGCAACUGAUAUCUUUCUGUGUGAUCACCAGGGAGCAUCAGGCUGGACUGACUGUGAGAGGUGGUCCCAGCUGGCUCCUUAGAUGGAUGGUACUGCACACACUGAAAGCCACUCAGACUCUGCAGGCCAACCCUCUUCUGUGGCUUCUUCUACCAGGUAAGUAGGUUGCUGUCAUUGAUUAAAACAGCCCUGAAGCUCCUCGUUAGUUAUUGUUAAAUCACAGGCAUAGUAAAACAAAGGACUCCAUGCACCUUACUUGUGAAACUUGUUCACGUCUGCAGAGCCCAUUGCUGCCCUUGAUUUCUCUGUCCUACCCUUGAAAAAAGGGCUUCAACAGAAGCAGAAAAAGUAGGGUCAUACCCUUGCCAUUCCUAUCCUCUUCCCAUUGCUCCUCCACAGCCAGAUAGUAGUCCAAUCCUUCUCUUCACAGAACAGCUAAGGUCAGAAGGGGACUCUGAAGUUUGUCUGAUUCAACGUCCCCUGAAUCAAGCCACUCCAAGCAGGUUGCCCAGCACCACACCCAGCCAGCUUUUGAAGAUCUCCAAAGACUGAGACUCCAGAACAUCUCCAGGCAGCCUGUUCCUGUGUUUGACCACC